rnacentral:rRNA from 1 species
CAAGUUAUUAAGGGUGCAGGGCGGAUGCCUUGGCACUAGGAGCCGAUGAAGGACGUGAUAAGCUGCGAUAAGCUUCGGGGAGUUGCACGUAAACUUUGAUCCGAAGAUUUCCGAAUGAGGAAACUCACUUAGAGUAAUGUCUAAGUAUCAUUAAGUGAAUACAUAGCUUAAUGAGGGGAACUCAGGGAACUGAAACAUCUAAGUACCUGAAGGAAGAGAAAGAAAUUCGAUUCCGUAAGUAGCGGCGAGCGAACGCGGAUUAGCCCAAACCAAUAAAGUUUUCUUUAUUGGGGUUGCGGACAUAUCAUAACGAAGAGGUAUCGUAAUUGAAGAGGUUUGGAAAGACCCACCACAGAAGGUAAUAGUCCUGUAUGUUAAACGAGAAGACUUAGAUAUGAUCCAGAGUACCACGGGACACGUGAAACCCUGUGGGAAGCAGGAGGGACCACCCUCCAAGGCUAAAUACUACCUAGUGACCGAUAGCGUAUAGUACCGUGAGGGAAAGGUGAAAAGAACCCCGGGAGGGGAGUGAAAUAGAACCUGAAACCCUGCACUUACAAGCUGUGGAAGCACAUUUCUUGUGUGACCGCGUACUUUUUGUAGAACGGGCCAACGAGUUACGUUAAGUAGCAAGGUUAAGCACUUAAGGUGCGGAGCCGUAGCGAAAGCGAGUUUUAACUGAGCGUUCAGUUACUUGACGUAGACCCGAAACCGGGCGACCUACCCAUGAGCAGGAUGAAGCGAAAGUAAAAUUUCGUGGAGGUCCGAACCCACGAGCGUUGAAAAGCUCGGGGAUGACUUGUGGGUAGCGGUGAAAUUCCAAUCGAGCCCGGAGAUAGCUGGUUCUCCCCGAAGUAGCUUUAGGGCUAGCCUCAAGGUGAGAGAUACGGAGGUAGAGCACUGAAUGUCCUAGGGGGUAUUGCUCCUACCGAAGACUAUCAAACUCCGAAUGCCGUCAUCUUAUACUUGGGAGUCAGACUGUGGGUGAUAAGAUUCAUAGUCGAAAGGGCAACAGCCCAGAUCGUCAGCUAAGGUCCCUAAAUGUAAGUUAAGUGGUAAAGGAUGUGGGAUUGCACAGACAACCAGGAUGUUGGCUUAGAAGCAGCCACUCAUUCAAAGAGUGCGUAAUAGCUCACUGGUCGAGUGAUCCUGCGCCGAAGAUUUCCGGGGCUAAAACUUACUACCGAAGCUACGGCAUCAGUAAUGAUGGGUAGGGGAGCUUCCCAUACGGGUUGAAGCAUGACCGUAAGGACAUGUGGACAGUAUGGGAGUGAGAAUGUUGGCAUGAGUAGCGAGAUGUGGGUGAGAAUCCCACAGGCCGUAAACCCAAGGUUUCCUAGGGGAAGGUUCGUCCGCCCUGGGUUAGUCGGGACCUAAGCUGAGGCCGAAAGGCGUAGGUGAUGGACAACAGGUUGAUAUUCCUGUACUACCGAUAACCGUUUGAGAGAAGGGAUGACACAGUAGGAUAAGCUAAGCACACUGUUGGUUAUGUGUGCCCAAGCAUUGAGGCAGUCAAAGUAGGCAAAUCCGCUUUGAUAAUGCUGGGAUGUGAUGGGGAGCGAAAUUUAGUAGCGAAGUAGCUGAUUUCACACUGUCAAGAAAAGUCUCUAUCGAGGUUAAAGGUACCCGUACCGCAAACCGACACAGGUGGGUGAGGAGAGUAUCCUAAGGCCAGCGAGAGAACUGUUGUUAAGGAACUCGGCAAAAUGACCCCGUAACUUAGGGAUAAGGGGUGCCACCAUCAGGUGGCCGCAGAGAAUAGGCCCAAGCGACUGUUUACCAAAAACAUAGGUUUCUGCUAAGUCGCAAGACGAUGUAUAGGAGCUGACGCCUGCCCGGUGCUGGAAGGUUAAGGGAAUCUGUUAGAGCAAUCGAAGCAGUGAACUUAAGCCCCAGUAAACGGCGGCCGUAACUAUAACGGUCCUAAGGUAGCGAAAUUCCUUGUCGGGUAAGUUCCGACCCGCACGAAAGGCGUAACGAUUUGGGCACUGUCUCAACAACAGACUCGGUGAAAUUGUAAUUCCGGUGAAGAUGCCGGAUACCUGCGACAGGACGGAAAGACCCCAUGGAGCUUUACUGUAGCUUGACAUUGGGUCUUGGUACUACAUGUACAGGAUAGGUGGGAGGCUUUGAAACCAGGACGCCAGUUUUGGCGGAGCCAUCCUUGGGAUACCACCCUUGUAGUACUGGGACUCUAACCAUAGGCCAUGAAUCUGGUCUUGGGACACUGUCAGGUGGGCAGUUUGACUGGGGCGGUCGCCUCCCAAAAGGUAACGGAGGCGCUCAAAGGUUCUCUCAGUACGGUCGGAAAUCGUACGUAGAGUGUAAAGGCAAAAGAGAGCUUGAUUGCAAGACAUACAGGUCGAGCAAGGAUGAAAAUCGGACUUAGUGAUCCGGUGGUUCUGCGUGGAAGGGCCAUCGCUCAACGGAUAAAAGCUACCCUGGGGAUAACAGGCUUAUCUCCCCCAAGAGUCCACAUCGACGGGGAGGUUUGGCACCUCGAUGUCGGCUCAUCACAUCCUGGGGCUGUAGUAGGUCCCAAGGGUUGGGCUGUUCGCCCAUUAAAGUGGUACGCGAGCUGGGUUCAGAACGUCGUGAGACAGUUCGGUCCCUAUCCGUCGCAGGCGUAGGAAAUUUGAGAAGACCUGUCCUUAGUACGAGAGGACCGGGAUGGACGUACCUCUGGUGUACCAGUUGUCCUGCCAAGGGCAUGGCUGGGUAGCUAUGUACGGAAUGGAUAAGCGCUGAAAGCAUCUAAGCGCGAAGCCAACUUCAAGAUAAGAUUUCCCACCGCAAGGGUAAGACCCCAGAAAGACUAUCUGGUUGAUAGGUCGAAGGUGUAAGUGCAGCAAUGUAUUUAGCUUAUCGAUACUAAUAGGUCGAGGACUUGACCA